GUGGGGAAUCUUGCGCAAUGGGCGAAAGCCUGACGCAGCCAUGCCGCGUGAAUGAUGAAGGUCUUAGGAUUGUAAAAUUCUUUCACCGGGGACGAUAAUGACGGUACCCGGAGAAGAAGCCCCGGCUAACUUCGUGCCAGCAGCCGCGGUAAUACGAAGGGGGCUAGCGUUGCUCGGAAUUACUGGGCGUAAAGGGCGCGCAGGCGGACAGUUUAGUCAGAGGUGAAAGCCCAGGGCUCAACCUUGGAAUUGCCUUUGAUACUGGCUGUCUUGAGUACGGGAGAGGUGAGUGGAACUCCGAGUGUAGAGGUGAAAUUCGUAGAUAUUCGGAAGAACACCAGUGGCGAAGGCGACUCACUGGCCCGUUACUGACGCUGAGGCGCGAAAGCGUGGGGAGCAAACAGGAUUAGAUACCCCGGUAGUCC
rnacentral:rRNA from 1 species